rnacentral:rRNA from 1 species
UACGUAGGGGGCGAGCGUUGUCCGGAUUUAUUGGGCGUAAAGAGCGUGUCGGCGGUUCGGUAAGUCUGUCAUGAAAUCCUGAGGCUCAACCUCGGGCGUGCGAUGGAUACUGCCGGGCUAGAGGAUGGUAGAGGCGAGUGGAAUUCCCGGUGUAGCGGUGAAAUGCGCAGAUAUCGGGAGGAACACCAGUAGCGAAGGCGGCUCGCUGGGCCAUUCCUGACGCUGAGACGCGAAAGCUAGGGGAGCGAACAGG